GCAGUGGUGUUUUGGUGGUAGAAUCCUUACCUUUCAUUCAGGAGACUGGGUUCGAUUCCCGGCCAAUGCA
rnacentral:tRNA from 1 species